rnacentral:rRNA from 1 species
AGUAGAACGCACAGUUUAUACCGUAGCUUGCUACACCAUAAACUGUGAGUUGCGAACGGGUGAGUAACGCGUAGGUAACCUGCCUGGUAGCGGGGGAUAACUAUUGGAAACGAUAGCUAAUACCGCAUAAUAUUGAUUAUUGCAUGAUAAUUGAUUGAAAGAUGCAACUGCAUCACUACCAGAUGGACCUGCGUUGUAUUAGCUAGUAGGUGAGGUAACGGCUCACCUAGGCGACGAUACAUAGCCGACCUGAGAGGGUGAUCGGCCACACUGGGACUGAGACACGGCCCAGACUCCUACGGGAGGCAGCAGUAGGGAAUCUUCGGCAAUGGACGAAAGUCUGACCGAGCAACGCCGCGUGAGUGAAGAAGGUUUUCGGAUCGUAAAGCUCUGUUGUAAGAGAAGAACGGGUGCGAGAGUGGAAAGUUCACACUGUGACGGUAUCUUACCAGAAAGGGACGGCUAACUACGUGCCAGCAGCCGCGGUAAUACGUAGGUCCCGAGCGUUGUCCGGAUUUAUUGGGCGUAAAGCGAGCGCAGGCGGUUAGAUAAGUCUGAAGUUAAAGGCUGUGGCUUAACCAUAGUACGCUUUGGAAACUG